UCGGUGCAUGAACUUGUGAGAGAGGGGAAGAGGAGCAGAACAAGAGCAGCAAGGCCAAUGAAAGUUCUGCCGAAUCUGUUGCUGUAUUUCAUGUGUGAGAAGUGGAUUGCCCUCAUGGCUUCUUUCCAGAAAUCAGGAUGGAAGGUGGAAGGAGAAGCAUAGGGCUUCUUUCCAGAAAUCAGGAUGGAUGGAAGGAGAAGCAUAGGGCUUCUUUCCAGAAAUCAGGAUGGAAGGAGAAGCAUAAGUUGUCUCCGUUUUUUUGAAAGUUUGUUUUCAAUUUCCAGAAACAGGGAUCUCAAAGACCUUCUGUGGAACAGGGUCUGAUAUAGAAAGAGCAUGAGGACAAGCAGGACAAGGUGCUGUCUCCGUUUUGUUUGAUCCUUCUGAAUCAGUCACCAAAAGGAAAUCUGGGUCAAGGGUUAGGUGCUACAGUGUUUUCUGAGCUUUUUUUUUUGAAAGUAUGUUUUCUGAGUUCACACCAUGAUGUUUCGUCUGAGCCUUUGUUGCUUCACUAUUAAUUCAGACAAAAUUUGAGCCAAGGAUGUGCCACCAUCCGGUGAUCAGGAAAAGACAUGAUUUGCGAGUCCUGAAUUGGUGAGGAUCAUGGCAAGCAUCCAUUAACAAAAGACUAGUAAAAUUCAGAGCAACCAUUGACGUCGCGAUCAACUUGGCCGCAGAGGUGCAAGUUGUGUGCAAGAUAAUGGCAGAUCAAUGGAGGAAUUGUCGCCGAGUGCUCUUUUCUUCUUGACCCGAGGCGUUUACUUUCUAGCCGUUGUCGUCGUACAGGAGUAGCUGUUGCUGAUGUAUACGUCUGCGAAUUGCAACUUUCCUUUCUCCCUGCCCCUGUGGUUCACGGUGGACAUUGGACAAGUACCUGUUUCUAGGGGGGUCGAGGUGUAUAAACUACAGAGGAAUCAUCUGAUCUGAUGAAGACUAGGCCAACAGCUCCGAAGAAAAAAUAUUGCAUGGAUUUGUUUUUUGCGGCUAUGUUUUAAUUAUUGUGGAUGAUUUUUGUUUGGAAGGUGAUGAGUAACUGACACUGUACUUUUAUAUUUGUUCAUGUUACUGUAGCUAGGGCCUUACGGUGCCAGUGGCUGAUAUUCUGCCAAAUUUGCUUAUCUUGCAUUUCCCUUUUGUUUA